rnacentral:tRNA from 1 species
GUGGCUGUAGCGCAGCGGUAGCGCACAAGAUUGUGGAUCUUGUGGUCGCGGGUUCGAUCCCCGUCAGCCACCCCA